rnacentral:rRNA from 1 species
CCAAUAGCGUAUAUUAAAGUUGUUGCAGUUAAAAAGCUCGUAGUUGAAUUUCGAGAUCAAAUUGUUGGUCGUGCCUCGGUACGUACUGGCAUUAUUGAUUUCUCCCUUCUGAAGAACCUUGAUGUCAUUAAUUUGGUGUCUUGGGGAAUCAGGACCGUUACUUUGAAAAAAUUAGAGUGUUUAAAGCAGGCUCACGCUUGAAUACAUUAGCAUGGAAUAAUGAAAUAGGACGUUUGAUUCUAUUUUGUUGGUUUCUAGGAUCGACGUAAUGAUUAAUAGGGAUAGUUGGGGGCAUUAGUAUUCAAUUGUCAGAGGUGAAAUUCUUGGAUUUAUUGAAGACUAACUACUGCGAAAGCAUUUGCCAAGGAUGUUUUCAUUAAUCAAGAACGAAAGUUAGGGGAUCGAAGACGAUCAGAUACCGUCGUAGUCUUAACCAUAAACUAUGCCGACUAGGGAUCGGAUGAUGUUAAUUUUUUUAAUGACUCAUUCGGCGCCUUACG